GACGAACGCUGGCGGCGUGCCUAAUACAUGCAAGUCGAACGCAGUGGGGACGGGUGAGUAACACGUGGGUAACCUCCCAUCAAAGGGGAUAACACUUGGAAACAGGUGCUAAACCGAUACUGGAGGAUGGACCCGCGGUGCAUUAGCUAGUUGGUGGGGUAACGGCUCACCAAGGCCACGAUGCAUAGCGGAGCUGAGAGGGUGACCGGCCACACUGGGACUGAGACACGGCCCAGACGCCUACGGGAGGCAGCAGUGGGGAAUAUUCGGCAAUGGACGAAAGUCUGAUCGAGCCACGCCGCGUGAGUGAAGAAGGCCUUCGGGUUGUAAAACACUGUUGGCAGAGAAGCGUUACCCACCCAGAAAGCCCCGGCUAACUCCGUGCCAGCAGCCGCGGUAAUUC
rnacentral:rRNA from 1 species